AAGUAGAAAUGAAAGAGUACCUCUGUCAUCACCAUCUUUACUCUCAAUAUGAUCCCAACAUCUGCUGAGAAGUUCUCAAUUAAGCAACUGUUGCAGUCUUCUCUACAAUCCCUUCUUUUAGUGUCUGAGGGGAACCAUUCAUCAGAUUUCCAGUCUUGGCAUCCACUGUUUCCUUGUAUGCAGCUGAAUGAACACCAAGAGCAGCACGACCAGAAGGGUCAGGAUUUUUGGCCCAUGCUGCAUCCCAUUCCACUGCUUUUGCAGUACUGCACGCAACACUUGGUCCUCCAGGAACUGUCGACCUUGCAGCAUUCUUAGGGAAGAAUUUCUCAAAGAUGGUUCUGUAGUAGUAUGCCUCCUUUGUGGUAGGAGUAUUUUCUGGGUAAAUAAAGCUAGCAUUCAUCAACAUUGCAUCUGUGACUUGUUUGUUUGCAUGGUCUCUCAGACCAUCAAUCCAGCUAUACCCAACUCCAUCACUGAACUGUUCCUUCUGCCUGUACAAUAUGUGCUUUGGAAGGUAUGGAUUCUUCUCAUCAUCAAAUGCAUUGCGCAAGACCCACUUCU
rnacentral:misc_RNA from 1 species